GCGGAUGUGGUGCACGGUGCACUCCUUUCUUUCAUGCUGCCAGGAACAAGAGUUGAAAGGCUGUCGGGGUUCGACUCCCCGCGUCCGCA